GCCCUGCCUCGAAAGUGCAAGGUCCAGAGUUAGAUCCCUGGUGCAAAAGAAAGAAAGUAGAAAGUAGAGCUGUAGUUCAGUGGCAGAGUGCCCAUGAGUUUGAGCCCUAGCUCCACAAUAAAUAAAUAUGGGUUUUUAAAAAAGUGAACAAAGCCACCCGAGCUGGUGCAUGCCUGUAGUCCCAACUACUUGGAGGCUGAAGCGGGAGGAUCUCUGGAACCCAGGAGUUUGAGGCCAAUCUCUGCAACAUAUCAAGACCCCUGUCACAAUUUUUUUUUUUAAUCUAGGAUAAAAUAAAAAUAUGAACAAACUGGCUGGAUCAGAACCGACUUUAAAUCAGGACAGCCACAGGGCUGGGUACUUAAGGCGGAUUCUGUGGCUCGUGACCAUUCCUGGAAAGUGAUCCUGGGUACUGGACACUGGACAGGACGGCAACCCGGAAAUCCAGGCUGGCCUGCAAUCCUUAGGACAUGCCCACCAUGGGCACCCAUGUCAGGACAUCAGUCACCGCUCCUCCCUCUGCUCAAGGCCGCUCCGUCAGGAUCGAGACAUUGAUUCCAGUCACCUGUUCC
rnacentral:lncRNA from 1 species